rnacentral:lncRNA from 1 species
CGACUGCAUGCAUAUAUUAUUAAGAUAAAGCGAUGGAUGCACAUCAAAUCAUUCCUCACUUAAGAAAGUUACAGUAGUUCAACAUCUUCCUCACGGUCACUUAAGAAACCAGCGCCAUGAUAGAUGGGUGGGUUAAGCCUUCUUUAAGUCACGAGUUCAGAUUCACGGCUGUUGAUGGUGUAGCUGGAGAGUAAAUUCUGUUUUUAAAAACCGAUUAGAAACCAAUACCCUGCCUAUGCACACCUUUGGCUCCCUGAAAAAAAAAACAUACACACACCUUUGACCUGACCCAUCCCUCGAGGCCUUGCUCCUACCAUCCUGCCUAUUACCAUCCCUUGAGGCC